UACGGGGGGAGCAAGCGUUGUUCGGAUUUACUGGGCGUAAAGGGCGCGUAGGCGGCCAGCACAAGUCAGUUGUGAAAUCUCCGAGCUUAACUCGGAAAGGUCAACUGAUACUGUGCGGCUAGAGUGCGGAAGGGGCAACUGGAAUUCUUGGUGUAGCGGUGAAAUGCGUAGAUAUCAAGAGGAACACCUGCGGCGAAGGCGGCUUCCUGGCCUGUUCUUGACGCUGAGGCGCGAAAGCGAGGGGAGCAAACGGG
rnacentral:rRNA from 1 species